rnacentral:rRNA from 1 species
GUGGGGAAUAUUGCGCAAUGGGCGAAAGCCUGACGCAGCCACGCCGCGUGAGUGAUGAAGGCCCUAGGGUCGUAAAGCUCUGUCGGAAGGGAAGAAGCUUCGGUUGACGGUACCUUCCAAGAAAGCACCGGCUAACUCCGUGCCAGCAGCCGCGGUAAUACGGAGGGUGCAAGCGUUGCUCGGAAUUACUGGGCGUAAAGCGUACGCAGGCGGCUUUGUAGGUCGGGUGUGAAAUCCCAGGGCUCAACCCUGGAACUGCAUUCGAAACCCCAAAGCUUGAGAGCGGGAGAGGUGAGCGGAAUUCCUGGUGUAGAGGUGAAAUUCGUAGAUAUCAGGAGGAACACCAGCGGCGAAAGCGGCUCACUGGCCCGAUUCUGACGCUCAUGUACGAAAGCGUGGGGAGCAAACAGG